AGUGAACGCUGGCGGUAGGCCUAACACAUGCAAGUCGAACGGCAGCACAGGAGAGCUUGCUCUCUGGGUGGCGAGUGGCGGACGGGUGAGGAAUACAUCGGAAUCUACUCUGUCGUGAGGGAUAACGUAGGGAAACUUACGCUAAUACCGCAUACGACCUACGGGUGAAAGCAGGGGAUCUUCGGACCUUGCGCGAUUGAAUGAGCCGAUGUCGGAUUAGCUAGUUGGCGGGGUAAAGGCCCACCAAGGCGACGACCCGUAGCUGGUCUGAGAGGAUGAUCAGCCACACUGGAACUGAGACACGGUCCAGACUCCUACGGGAGGCAGCAGUGGGGAAUAUUGGACAAUGGGCGCAAGCCUGAUCCAGCCAUACCGCGUGGGUGAAGAAGGCCUUCGGGUUGUAAAGCCCUUUUGUUGGGAAAGAAAUCCAGCUGGCUAAUACCCGGUUGGGAUGACGGUACCCAAAGAAUAAGCACCGGCUAACUUCGUGCCAGCAGCCGCCGUAA
rnacentral:rRNA from 1 species